AUGGACUACACGGGUUUCUAAUCCUGUUCGCUCCCCACGCUUUCGCUCCUCAGUGUCAGUAAUGGCCCAGAGUCCUGCCUUCGCCAUUGGUGUUCCUCCUGAUAUCUGCGCAUUCCACCGCUACACCAGGAAUUCCAGACUCCCCUACCAUACUCAAGCUCGCCCGUAUCGAAUGCAGGUCUGGGGUUAAGCCCCAGAUUUUCACAUCCGACGUGACGAACCACCUACGAGCUCUUUACGCCCAAUAAUUCCGGACAACGCUUGCACCCUAUGUAUUACCGCGGCGGCUGGCAC
rnacentral:misc_RNA from 1 species